UACGUAGGGUGCGAGCGUUGUCCGGAAUUAUUGGGCGUAAAGGGCUCGUAGGCGGUUUGUCGCGUCGGGAGUGAAAACUCAGGGCUUAACCCUGAGCCUGCUCCCGAUACGGGCAGACUAGAGUACUGCAGGGGAGCCUGGAAUUCCUGGUGUAGCGGUGGAAUGCGCAGAUAUCAGGAGGAACACCGGUGGCGAAGGCGGGUCUCUGGACGGCAACUGACGCUGAGGCACGAAAGCGUGGGGAGCAAACAGG
rnacentral:rRNA from 1 species